UCCAUACUGUGUAUCAAAUGGUACAUGACGUUUUGGUGUUACUGUUGUCAUCACACCGCUAUUCCCUCCAAUCAUAUGGAUAUUCGAUAUUGGAUUGUCUUCCUUCAUACGGUAUCAAGGUGUUCUAGAAAAUUAAAACCCUCCACCGUUUAAUCCAUCAUAUCGCCGAUUUCACGCACCUCUUCACUUUCUAAUAUACGGUUAGGGCUCGAUGGAUUUCAUUCAAGUUUUGAUUUCCUGUUUGCUACCUACUAUUCUUGCGUGUUGAUUCCUGAAUGCAUCCAGCUUUUCUUUGGAGUCGAUGUUACCACUACAUUCAAUUCCUUAUCCCUUUUAUUCUUCUUUUGUAUUUCACUCAAAUUUUUGUAGCAAUUUAAUUUUGUCCACUUUUAUUCUUUUUGAAGUUCUUUGUCUGUAAGUUAUUGAUAUGCUAAAAAUUGAACAAAAACGAAGCUUUCCUUUCGUUAAUUGUUGCUUUGCUUCUGAUUUUAGGGCUAAUAUAGUUAAAUUAUGAGAUUUAAAAAAAACACACCCAUACGUAGAUUAUGAGAUUAAGUCGUUUCUCUAUUAAACAUCAAGUGAUGAUGUCAGAUAGAAUUAAACAUCUUUUAUUGCAUUUCUUUUGUGCUUUGUUAACAUACUUUUGUAAUGAUUUUAUUAGUUUACACGUCACCUUGGUUUUCCAACACACAGAAUUUGAUACAUGGAGAUUCUGGAACUUAUUUUUAAGCUUCGACGAUAACUGUUUAUUAUCUUCUAGGUGUUAAAUUGUUUUAGAAUAAACCAUCAUAACAAAUAAUCACUUUUUUAUUGGUUGGAUGUAAUGGAAUGAAAGUGGAAAUAAAUAAGCAAGAUAAUUAAAUGACUCAUCACGUUUUAUGAACAUAUUUAGUUCUUAGAUUAUUUCUUGACACAAAGAUAUUGACUGUUAAUAAUAAAAGGGUAUUGUAAGUAAUAAGAAGAAAUGAAAGUAUGAUGCUAUGUAAAACAUAUCAACAAAAGUACUUUGCUACUUUUUGAUUAUUUUUGUUUCAUUGUCACAUUUAUGUGUUUAUGAAGGUGUGUAGCUUGAAAAACCCGCUGUCCGAUAUUGAAUUUACAGGUAUGAGUCAUUUAGAUAAAUAACUUGCUUCUUUUUUCAUCCAGCUCUUUCUAACCUCAAUUACAUUGACUUUUAUAUUUUAUUUUAUUUUUGCUUUAGGUAACCUUGAUAAAGGAAGAGUUUUGAAGGCCGUUUGUUAUUAUUGUGGGUAAAAGAUAAAGUCUAUUGAUUAUAUUGAUAAAAAGAAAAAGUAAGUUUUUAUUUCUUGCAAUUUACCUAUUUUAAAAAGAGCAGACAUUUUUUGAAUUUAUGGUAGAUAAAGGAUGAUGGGG
rnacentral:lncRNA from 1 species